UACAGAGGUCUCAAGCGUUGUUCGGAUUCAUUGGGCGUAAAGGGUGCGUAGGUGGUGAGGUAAGUCGGAUGUGAAAUCUCCGAGCUCAACUCGGAAACUGCAUUGGAAACUGCCUUGCUCGAGGGUUGGAGGGGGGACUGGAAUGCUUGGUGUAGCAGUGAAAUGCGUAGAUAUCAGGAGGAACACCAAUGGCGAAGGCAGCUCGCUGGGACGGUACUGACGCUGAGACGCGAAAGCGUGGGGAGCAAACAGG
rnacentral:rRNA from 1 species